ACUCCUACGGGAGGCAGCAGUGGGGAAUAUUGCACAAUGGGGGAAACCCUGAUGCAGCCAUGCCGCGUGUGUGAAGAAGGCCUUCGGUUGUAAGCACUUUCAGUAGGGAGGAAGGUAGUGUAGUUAACACCUGCAUUAUUUGACGUUACCUACAGAAGAAGCACCGGCUAACUCCGUGCCAGCAGCCGCGGUAAUACGGAGGGUGCGAGCGUUAAUCGGAAUUACUGGGCGUAAAGCGCAUGCAGGCGGCCUGUUAAGUCAGAUGUGAAAGCCCGGGGCUUAACCUCGGAAUUAGCAUUUGAAACUGGCAGGCUAGAGUCUUGUAGAGGGGGUAGAAUUUCAGGUGUAGCGGUGAAAUGCGUAGAGAUACUGAAGGAAUACCAGU
rnacentral:rRNA from 1 species